rnacentral:antisense_RNA from 1 species
GCAUCUGGCGGGCGAAUCGGAAGCUUCUUUUGAAGCGCCAGUAGCACACACACUGGUACGCCAAUUCCUUUUCGUCCGCCGCCAGC